CAGUUCCUGCUUUGUGCGUUGCUUGUUGAUUUUUAAACCACAGUGUGUUUUAAGGGAGCUUCGCUUAAACCGUGUAUACCAGGCCGCCGGAGAGUGGAAGGUAGAAAGGGUUUAGAGGGCACCCACCUGUGAGAAGCAGGUAUUAAAAACACCAGGCGGACGGCUAAGCGGGUAGCAU
rnacentral:other from 1 species